rnacentral:lncRNA from 1 species
ACUUAUUAGAUCUCGGUGGAUGCUCAAGUCUGGUGGAGCUCCCUUUUUCUAUUGGGAAUCUCAUCAAUCUAAAAGUAUUGAAUCUUAGCAGUUUAUCAUGUCUAGUGGAGCUCCCUUUCUCGAUUGGAAAUGCCACCAACCUUGAGGAUUUAAACCUUCGCCAAUGCUCAAAUCUGGUCCAGCUCCCCUUUCUCGACUUGGAACCUUCAGAAGUUGCAGACUUUGAACUUACGAGGAUGCUCUAAGCUAGAGGUUCUUCCGGCCAACAUCAAAUUGGGAUCUCUCAGGAAAUUAAACCUUCAACAUUGCUCAAAUCUGGUAAAGCUCCCCUUUUCUAUUGGAAACCUUCAGAAGUUGCAAACUUUGACCUUACGAGGAUGCUCUAAACUAGAAGAUCUUCCAGCCAACAUCAAAUUGGAAUCUCUUUGCUUACUUGAUCUCACUGAUUGCUUGCUGUUGAAAAGGUUUCCUGAGAUCUCCACAAACGUUGAAACUCUCUAUCUCAAAGGAACCACAAUAGAAGAAGUCCCUUCAUCAAUCAAAUCUUGGUCUCGUCUCACUUACUUGCAUAUGUCAUACAGUGAAAAUCUCAUGAACUUUCCUCAUGCUUUUGACAUCAUCACAAGGCUGUACGUGACCAAUACAGAGAUACAAGAGCUUCCCCCAUGGGUCAAGAAAUUCUCUCAUUUAAGAGAACUCAUUCUCAAGGGAUGCAAAAAGCUGGUAUCACUCCCACAGAUUCCAGAUUCCAUCACUUACAUAGAUGCAGAAGAUUGUGAGUCCCUGGAGAAACUAGAUUGCUCCUUUCACGAUCCAGAGAUUCGGGUCAACUCUGCUAAGUGCUUCAAACUGAAUCAAGAAGCCAGAGACCUCAUCAUCCAGACACCAACUAGUAAUUAUGCGAUCUUACCCGGCAGAGAAGUGCCUGCAUACUUCACUCACCAAUCUGCUACUGGAGGUUCCUUGACAAUCAAGCUGAACGAGAAGCCUCUUCCUACAUCCAUGCGGUUUAAGGCUUGCAUUUUGCUGGUUCGUAAAGGUGACGAUGAAAAUGGCUGCUAUGUUAGUUGUAAAAAAAGUAGGCAUUAUUUAUAUCCACCUUUAGAAGAGCAUAUGUACGUAUUUGAAGUCAAAGCAGAUGUGACUUCCAGCGAGCUUGUCUUUGAGUUCAAGAUCGACAGUACGAAUUGGAAGAUAAAAGAAUGUGGGGUAUUCCAACUCUCGGAGGUUCCUUGAUGAAUCUUCAAAAAGUGAUGUCUGAAACACCCUUGAUGAAACUGAAGUCUGUGGUGAAGUAAUGGAGACAUUUACUAAAAAGGUAAUCUAAUAUAAAUGUUGAUAGAUUUUGUACAAUGUUAAUCUCUUCUUUGAGGAUUGAAAUAUUACUUUACUUCAGUGGGCCACAUAAGAGGUGCUGUGUAUCUGCAACUUCUGUUUUUCUUUAUCUUCUUUAAUCCUCGAUCACUAUUAUUGAUCAUUUCAACUAUUUAACUCAUCUGUGAUAAAAUGAAAAACAAUUUGAAUUUUAACAGUGUACUGUAAUUUCAUCACAUGAACAAAUGUGGGAAAUCUUUCAGGACUUUUUGUUUGUUCGAUGAGUAUUACACAAAACUGACAUUCACAUCGAUUUUUUUUAUAUAGUCCGUAACAAACUAACAACUCUUUCAAGUAUUAAGAUUAAAAACUUUCAUCUAAUUACAGUUAGGUUUUUCGUCGGACGAUCAUCAUUCUUCGAUCCUAGAAGUUACGGUGAGCAGAGUAUCAUCAAGCCGCCCAUCAGGUGAUUAAACCUGAACUCUACUCUUAUUCAGAAUUACUAAGAAGAGCUUGAAAAAAGGAAUUUUCGCGUAAUACAUUAUACAUGUAUAUCUUUCUUUCUUCAGGCUGUCACCAACGUUAUGGAACGAUCAAAAACUAUAUGCUGCAGCCGUUAUGGAACGACCAAAAACCUUCUUUGCACCAAUGAUAACUCUAAGUCAACUGUUAUAUGAAAGUAUAGAUUUUUAAAGCUUUUAAUAAAGUGCUUUGAUUGCUUUUUGUUACUGACAUGAAGAUGUUGUUCUGUUUGGGAUGUAUAGAUAGUUCAAAUAAAGGAGUUGAAACUUCUCUCAGUCUAUGGUCUAAGAUCAUGGAACAGACAUGAACAGAUAGGUAAAAAACUCCAUCAACAGUUUUUUGGCUAAGUAUCCGAGCCUUGCCUCUGCAAACCCUCUUGUUUUUCUUCAGCUCUAGAUAUAUUCUCCUAAGCACUAAGCAGGUCUGAAACUAAUCUACUGUCAAUGAGUAUACUGAUGCUUGUCGACUCAACGGAGUAUACUAACCAAGUUUUUCAAUCUUCAGUAACUAUCCAUUUCACCUGACACAAAUCCGAGUGAUUAGUGGCCUUAGAAAACACUAAACCUUGAAAUGUAUGAGGCUUUUGUAACCAAAGUCAUGCAAUACGGGGAACCAACUCCAUAGUAUUAGAUGAUACCAACACUCUAAUACGAAAAACGAAGAGAGUCCAAAACCAAAAGAGUCAUUUUAAAACAGAGGGAGAGAGAGAGUGAUAAAAAAAAAAAAGAUUCAUUUUGGUGUGAGAGGAAUAGCUGUAUCGUCUCAAUUGUUUCUUCAAAAAUGGAUAAGUCUACCAAAUCCACCGUACCAUACUAAAUCGAUUGCAUUAAAACCAAAACGAAAAAAGCUUCAGUGAAACCAGAAGAUUAAUAUGCAUUUAUAAGAAAUUUGAGUGGUGUCAAAAAAAAAAAAAAAAAAAAAAAAAAGAAAUCUGAGUAAGUAAUUUACCAAAAAAAUAAAAGAUAUCUAAGCUAAAUGGGUGAACGACCUGUGUCCCCCCAGUAAGUUUCAUAUAGUACCAUAACAACACAGAUUUCGGGUCUCGUCUCCAGUCCACACAAAACGAAAGUUAAACUCCAGUUUCCCCCUAAAUUGAAAGUUCGAGACUUCAGUCUCCAUAGUUUCAAAUUUCGUGGUUUAUCUUCGGUUUACUGUGCCGAACCCGAUUAACCGCUUAACAUCGAAAUUAAACCGGAUUUACCCAGAAACCAAGCCGAUUAUUAGACCCAUUAAACCCGAUAAUCCCAAAAUCGUAAAAUCACCAAACUUCACAAACACACACACACAAAAUUCAAUUACAAAGUGAUCAAGAAAAGAUAUCAGUGAGCUCUACUAGUAAAUUAUACCUGAGGAUAACAAAUCUGAAUCCCUCCACGCAUUGAUUUAGGAGGUUUGAAUAUAGCCUAGCAAAUUUACAACCAAAUUUAAAAAUCAGAUUUUGGAUUUUCAGCUUCUUCACAAUGUAUUUGUAGUGUCUGCAUACCUCCAUGAAAUCACUUGUCCUCCAUGUAAACUAAUCUGGAAAACCAAAAAAUCAAAAACCCAAAUUGGUUUUAAAAAAAAGCUCGAAUUAUUCAGAGAAGAAGGUUGGAGAAAAUAGUGAAGACCUUGGCAGAAGCACCAUGUGGGUUUCUGAGAAGGACUUGGUCAACGCCAUUCCAAUCUUUGAUUAUCUCACUUGCUUCUUUUUGAUCCCACACUGUUGCGUAAUGACCCAUUUUCAAUUUCUUCUUCUUCUUCUUCUUCUUCUUUGAAUUUUCAGAAUCUCAAGAACUUAUUACACUGACAAAAAAAUUCUGAUUUUUGACAGCCAAAAAAAGAGCAAAAGAUAAGAAAAACGACAAAAGAGCUUUUUCUUUCUCACAAAAAUCUCAUGAACAUGGCGAUAGAAUUAUACUAUAAGAUCGAAAUUAGGGUUCUAAGAUUUCUCAAUUUGGGGAUAACUCGAAUCGGGUUCAAAAUCGGUUUAUUAUUCUGGGUUUUGGUUUGGCAUCGGGUUCGGCACAAUAAACCGAAGAUAAACCACGAAAUUUAAAAUUAUGGAGACUGAGGUCUCGAACUUUCAAUUUAGGGGGAAACUGGAGUUUAACUUUCGUUUUGUGUGGACUGGAGACGAGACCCGAAAUCUGUGUUGUUAUGGUACUAUAUGAAACUUACUGGGGGGACACAGGUUGUUCACCGAAGCUAAAUAAGCACAUUAUCGAGAUUCGAGAUGAAGAAAAAAAUCUAUUAUAUGACCAAAAAAAAAAUUGUUUAGAAAAAACUACUAUAAAAGGAGCAAAUAAUUUAUUUUUACCUUUCUCACUUUUAGCCUUUAUCUUGUAAUUGAAAGUUAACUUUGCAAAUAUAUGAAAGAUCUAGAAGAGUUGAUAAUUUUUUAAAAUAUAUUUUUGUGUAAUUUUCUUUUUUCAUAAUUUUUUAAUUAUAAAAAUCAACUUUAAGGAAUGAAAGAUGAUUUAAUCAUAAAUGAAAAAUCUAAAAAUGUAUUACGUAGAUUUGAAAAGAGAUGAUGAUGCAACAAAGGUAUUAAUAUAAAAGGUUUUGUACAAAAACACCCUCAAAAUCAUCAAUUUUUGUAACUUUACCCUCUACCUCCGAAGAAUGCAGAAUAAUCAUAUGAAGUCAAAAAUAAUACGCAAUAUAGCCCUUAUAAAUAUACUAUAAAAGUUUUCACGAUCACAUAAAUUUGGUUUUUCAAAUUUUAAGGGUAGAGUUGAAAUCCUCGUUUUGAGGGCUUCAAUUUGAUCUAUUAUUUAUCAAAAUUUAAAAAACUAGAGAACAGCGAAAAGGGGUUAUAUUGUGUAUUAUUUUUUGCUUCAUAUGAUUAUUCUACAUUUUUUAGAGGUUGAAGGUAAAAUUGCAAAAAUUGGCGACUUUGAAGGGUUUUGCACGAAACCCUAAUAUAAAUGACUUGUUGUAUUUCAUGAUAAUUAAUCAAAUGAAUUAAAAUAUCCCCUAAUAAUAUUGAUAUAUCAUGGUUUUUACGGUUAUUUAACCAUGAUAUAGGUAUUAUUAUUAGAGUAUUUUUGUUAUUUCUAGAGUCUUUUCUAGUGUUUUUCAGGUUUAUGCAUGCACAGGACCAAUUUGGAGAUUAUGGAUAAUUCUAGAGCAAAAACGAGAUGUUAUGAUGAUACAAGAGCAGUCCGGAGACCAAUCUUGGUGUAUGUGUCGAUCGACACCAAUAUCUAACGGCAAUUCGAUCUCGUAUGUUUUUGAAGUUUUGAAUAUUUGCAGAAUCAUCCCAAAAUUUUUCUCUAUUUUCAAAGAAGUCUCUACACGUUUUAAGACAAUAUAAAUAUGGGAAAGUUACCAGAUUAACCCAAAUUAUGAGUUUAAUUACUAGAAUGUCUCAAAAAAUUUGGGGGUUAAAUGAGUUAUUUUCAUGACCAUAAUACCUUUUCUCUCUUUGUUAGGAAUAAAAAAAGUCAAAAUUACCCUUAAAUAUAUUUUAAAAACGUGGAGAAAAAAUAUUUGAAAAAUCUGCUGGGUUAGUUGUGACAAGUUUAUUUUCCAUGACAGAUUUAUUUUUCUAUGACAGAUUUUUUGCAUCAGAUUUUUUUUUCUCCUAUAGACUUACUUAAAAUAGGUUACGACAAAUAUUUAAUUUGUAGCAGAUUUUUUUGUCACGCCAGACUUAUUUUAUGAUGACACCACAGACUUUUGUAAUUUUGACAGAUUUAUUAAAAUGUGUGGCAAUAUUAUUGUUUUAGUGGCGUCAGACUUAUAUUUUUCGGUAAAAAUCUGUCAUAAUGUAGCUAAUAAAAAAAUAAUUACUAGUUUGACUUAUUAGUGAUAACAGAUUUAUUUUAUGUUAUGACAAUUUUUUUUCCUAACAAAAAAUCUGGAGUGUGAUAGCAGAUUUGUUAUAUAAAAAUAUAAAUUGCUAGAAUGACAUAUACUCACAACCGAAAUGUUUUAUGUUAUGACAAAUUUUUUUUAUAUUACAACAGAAUUCAGAUAGGCUAUAAAAAAAUAUGUCGUAUGAUGGCAGUUUUAUUGAUGAAAAUAGAAUUUUAAUCUGCACAAUAAGGUAAUAAGAGACAUAUUCUUAUCUCGACAGACUUAUUUAUAAUAGAUGGCUCAUGUGUGGCUGUCUCCUUGUUAAUAUAUGAUAAAGAUUAUUUUUUUCUUUUGUUAUAUAUUUUGUUCUUUUUAAUAUAUAUAUAUAUAUAAUAUAUAUAUAUUUGUUUUUUUCGUUUUAUAUUUUUUUUUCGUUUUUUUUUAUUUAUUUUUUUUUUUUUUCAUUUUAUAUUUUUUUGUCAUUUUGUAUUUUUUUCUAAUUUUCUAUUUAAUUUAGUUAUUAUAUGUUAAUUAUUUUAUUUUAAUUGAAUUGAAAAUAAAAUAGGUAUUUGUCUUUUUUUUCGUUUUUUAUUUUUUAAUGUUUUUUCAAUUUAUAUAUAUUUUGUUUGUUUUGUAUUUUUUUUUGUUUUUUUCUCAAUUUUCUUUUUUUCGUUAUAUAAUUUUUGUUUUUGUAUUUUUUAAUUUUCUAUUUAAUUUAAUUAUUAUAUGUUAAUUAUAUUAUUUAAAUAGAAUUGAAAAUAAAAUGGUAUUUGGUCUUUUAACACAAAAAUUGUGUUAUUCUAGUAAACCACAAUAUUUGGGUGUUAAUCUAGUUAUUUUUCUCUAGAUUUGGGUCAAACUAGGUAAUUUUCAGUAUAAAUAUAUUCUUAAGGUUAUUGUUUAGACCUAAGCUUUAUUUUUAUUUUGUUCUUGGACGUAAACCCUGUGGAGCUCCCUCCAGAAAAGAUGCUUCAACACUCUAUUCUCUUCUUGUUUUCUUACAAGAUUCCUACUUUAAAACAUGUUUUGUUCUUCGAUAAUCAUGUCUGAGUAGUCCUUGUUUGGUUUAGGGAUUCUCAAUAGGGAUUUGGAUGAAUUAGUAGAUCGAUAACCUGUUAGUAAAAUAAAUCUCUAGAGUUCUUCAUCUUUGAUUGUUCUUAAUGCUAGUUCUAGAGUAAUUAACUAUAACUUGAUCUUAGGAUAAUAGGUUAGACACGAGAGUGCGCUUAUUACUAGAACUAUCUUAGGUGGGCAGAAGUAGUUAGAUACAGACGAGAGUUGGUCUAGAUACUUUUGUGAACAUAUCGAACCUGAUCUUAAUGCUUUCUUAGUUUUAGGGAUUUAAUUUACAGACGAGAGUUGGAAUUUCUGCUAUUAAGCAUAGAUAGUCAAUUCAGACGAGAGUUGGUUGAUUAUAGUUUUUUUAUUUGAGUUCUAAGAACGGUUCUUUAAUAAUUCCAAUAAUUCCUAACUAAUUGCUAGAUCUACUAUUCUAAUAUUUCCUGAGAAAUCCCUUAGCCUAACGUUUCAUCUAUCUGUUUUACAACUUAUUUUUAAAGGUUUUUUUUUGUAUUUUAAUUUACUUAAUUUUCUGUUUAGCUUAAUUCAAAACAUGUUAGUCUAUUGUGUGAACAACGAGAGCUUUGUGGAAUUCGACCCUAAAAUGCUAUACAUGAUCUCUUUAUUUGACAGAGUAGUCUUAGGUUAAUUUGACUCAUAUCAAAUAUAAAUCUACAAUAUUUAAAAACGCAACUCAUCCAAAAAUAUGAUGAUUACAACAAAAUAUAAAUCAGAACUACUACCAAAAAAAUAUAUAUAUAAAUCAGAACUUUGUAUUUUUUUUUCCGAAUAACUAUUUAUACUACUUCCUAACCACUCGGUAUUUGGUCUACCUGAUACAAAUGUUUUCCUUGUUUAUGCGAAUAGCUUUCAACAUUACUUGAAAUGCCCUGACCAUCACACCUCUCUUAAUGGGUCCACGUCCUCUCUCGGCCGGUCCGCUACGUCCAGGAGGCUUUAAAGACUUGUUUACCGUUCCUACAAAUUACCACAUGAUCUUUUCUUGUGUUUUGUCCUCACUCACACAGUUCUGACAAUCACUUCCGAGAAGGUCACCCAUCCUGAAAUUGCACGCUUAACUGUGGAGUUCUCUCAGGGCAGUUGACCGAAAAGAUAAGUGCACUUUGGUGACAUAGGUGGUCAAAUCAACUCUUUUAACACCACAUUCUUGAAACCAGGGUGUUACAUUACUUGAAAGGAAUCAUGGCCACAUUGAUAUAGUAAUUUCGAUUGGAAAAGUUACCCAUUAACUUGUUAAUCGGUUAGUGGGGAUGUCGUACAUGCAAAACGGUUCAUUAGAGAUUCGAAUGUUGCACGGAGAACUGAAAUGUGGAAUCAUUGUUUGUGGGAGCUGUUCAUCAUAAUUGUAUAUGUUGUAGGUAAUUGAUUAUCAUCGUAAUAGGAUAAGCUCAAAUAUCUAUAAUGAUAAUGUAAUAGAUGGUUAAAAAAAAAUUUGGUAUUUGUUAUGAGAAAAAGAAAAAGAUAUAUUAAAAAUCUUGUAAAUAAAAGGAGACUUUUCUUAUGAGAAACCUCAAUGAUACAGAUUUGAAUUUUCUUUGAAAUUUGAUGAAAAUUUCAUAAGAUAAAAAUGAGCUCUGUUUUUACUAGUAAUUUCUCAAACAAAUAUGUUGUAAUGUUAUAUUGCUCGAACUCAAGAAAAUUUGGUUUAUAGCAUACUUUUUCAUCUUUUUAAAAGUAAUAUAAAAAAUUAGGUAACUCGUAAGAUUUCGCCUCUGAUAUUAGCUGUAUCGUAAUCAUCAAAUAAACGUAACCGUAUUUAACCGUAACCGUUGUAACUGUAACCAUAUUUAACCGUAUAUAUAAUGGUUAAAGUUACGGUUAAAAAAGUUUAUAAUCGUAACCGGUGAUUAAUUAACCGUAAUCGUAAUAACCGUAACCGUGGUCAUACCUAGAAAAUUGUAGAGAGAUAAUUUUAAUUUGAUACACCCUCACUUUUUCAAAGAAUGAUAUUUUGAGUUUUACACACAAUUUAAGAAAAAGUAAUUUAAAAUUUUUUUAAUUAUUAUUUUGUUAGUUUAAUAAUAUUAGUACUUCUCACCUUUAUCUAUUAGUCGCAAACAAAAACAAUGAUGAUGUUUUUACAAAACAUCAAUCUUGGCUGAACAAGUAAAAAACUCAAAACAUCAAAUAACUAGGAACAGAGGGAGUAUAGUUUUUAUUAUUUUAAACUGUUUUUGUUUUUGUCUAAAAAAAAACUUGUUUUUGUUAUUAUGUACCGCUUUUGAUAAAUUUAUCUUGAUUGGUAACAACAGCUUUGUACAGCUUUAAAUUUUGUGACCAAUCAUAGCCAUUAUAAAUGUUGGAGAUUUGGCAUCUCUAUAUCAAAACUCGAUGUAAGUAUUUUCACAUCUUUUCUAUAAAUUUUAGAUUUUUGAUAGAGACAUUGAUUUUAGUCACUGCUUCCUUGUGUUUCCCAUUUCUGAUUUGCAUCAUAGAUUCGGAUUUCAGUUGCUAAUUUGCUUCUUUUAGAUUCAGAAUUUCAACAUUUCAUGACUUGUUCAAAAAAUCAUGUCUUUGGAUAUAAAUGCUGGAGAAGUUAGUUACCAUGUUUGUAUUGAAACUUGAUACUGCUCUUUUUCUUUUUUCUUUGGACGAAGCUUCCUUUGUCUAUUGUAGGACCAAUUAUUGACGUCUGCGAGGAAAUAGCUAGGAAUUGGGUACAUGAAAGAAAACAAGAAGCUAAAACCUCUAUUUUUGAUAGUAUAGUUUCUUUGUUAAUAUAUAUUCAUGACUUAUAUUUAGGAAAUAAAACUAUAAAUGUUGUAGAAUUGGCAUGUAUAUAUGUAUUAAAACUCGAUGCUUAUUGCUUGCUUUAUACGUUUGAUUUUUUCUAGUUAUCUGUUUUCAUAUUUUAGAUUUUCUUCAACUUUAUCUGUUAUUGCAUUCUAUACCAAAGCUAAUCCUCUUGUUUGCUAGUACAGUUUCAAAAUAUUCUCACUUUCUCGGUCAAUGGAGUCAACCUUCUUUGUUUAGUAUAAGUCUGUUUUGCAACUUCUUCAUCCGCAUAGCUCUCUUUAAAGCUCUCUGAUAUUAUUAAUCCUCUCUCCAAUAAUAUAUACUAACUAAUGGAUUCUUCUUCUUCUUUUAUCCUUACCACUGUUGCUGCUGCAAUAGGCUUCUUCACGCUUCUUAGAAAUCUCAGAUGCCAUCAAGAAGAUGACAAAGAAAAUAAUUCUUCUUCUUCUACUUCAUCACCUCCGUCUUCUUCAUCGUCUUUGUCUCCUCCAUCGUCUUUGGAUCGCAUCUGGACACACCAUGUGUUUCCAAGUUUUCGAGGGGAAUAUGUCCGUAGAGACUUUCUUAGUCACAUUCAGAUGGAGUUUCAAAGAAUGGGAAUCACACCAUUCAUUGAUAAUGAGAUCGAGAGAGGACAAUCCAUCGGUCCCGAACUCAUUCGAGCAAUUAGAGAAUCCAAGAUCGCAAUUAUCUUGCUCUCAAGAAACUACGCUUCUUCGAGCUGGUGUCUUGACGAAUUGGCGGAGAUUAUGAAGUGCAGGGACGAAUUGGGUCAAACAGUUUUGGCUGUUUUCUAUAAAGUGGAUCCAUCUGAUGUAAAGAAGCUGACCGGAGAUUUUGGAAAAGUCUUCAAAAAAACAUGUGCCGGUAAAACAAAAGAGCACGUUGGGAGAUGGAGACAAGCUUUGGCAAAUGUCGCCACAAUCGCCGGUUACCAUUCGACCAACUGGUUCGUUGUCUUCCUAACAAACAUCUAACUGUAUAUAUUAAUAGCUUCUUCAAAUCACAGAAACUCAUAGUUUUUUUAAAUGUGUGUGACUUCUCCAUAAUUGUUUAAUGGAUGUAGUGAUCUUCUUUGUUGUUAGGGAUAAUGAAGCGGCCAUGAUUAAAAAAAUCGCUACUGAUAUUUCGAACUUGUUGAAUAAUUCUUCAUCAUCAAGUGAUUUCGAUGGGUUGGUUGGAAUGAGAGAACAUUUAGAGAAGAUGGAACCGUUAUUAUGUUUAGACUCAGAUGAAGUGAGGAUGAUUGGGAUUUGGGGUCCUUCUGGGAUUGGGAAGACGACCAUCGCCAGAGUUAUAUACAACAAACUCUCCGGCAGUUUUCAACUGAGUGUCUUUAUGGAAUCUAUCGAAGCAAAAUAUACAAGACCAUGUUCCGAUGACUAUAGUGCCAAGUUGCAGUUACAACAGCAGUUUAUGUCUCAAAUAACCAACCAGAGUGAUAUGAAGAUUUCUCAUUUAGGUGUUGUUCAAGAUAGGCUAAAAGACAAGAAAGUUCUUGUUGUUCUUGAUGGUGUGGACAAGUCAAUGCAACUAGAUGCCAUGGUGAAAGAAACUUGGUGGUUUGGUCCUGGGAGUCGGAUUAUUAUUACAACGCAAGAUCGAAAGCUUUUCAGGUCACAUGGGAUUAACCAUAUUUACAAGAUUGAUUUUCCAUCAACUGAAGAGGCCCUUCAAAUCUUGUGCACAUAUGCUUUUGGUCAAAACUCCCCUAAUGUCGUUUUGAAGAACUUGCUCAGGAAGUUACACAACUUGCUGGUGAACUUCCUUUGGGUCUUAGGGUUAUAGGUUCUUAUUUUCGGGGAAUGUCUAAGAUGGAGUGGAUGAAAGCACUACCAAGGUUAAGGAAUAGCCUUGAUGCUAAUAUUCUUAGCAUUUUGAAGUUCAGCUAUGAUGCCUUAGAUGAUGAAGACAAAUAUUUGUUUCUUCAUAUAGCAUGCUUCUUCAAUCAUGAAGAGAUUGAGAAAGUGGAAGAUUAUCUCGCAGAGACGUUCUUGGAUGUGAGUCAUCGGCUUAAUGUCUUAGCUGAGAAAUCUCUCAUAUCUUUGAAUAGGGGAUAUAUAAACAUGCAUGAUUUGCUAGUCAAACUAGGUAGAGAUAUUGUCCGUAAACAGUCUAUUCGUGAGCCUGGACAACGCCUAUUUUUGGUUGAUGCACGAGAAAUUUGUGAAGUACUCAAUCUUGAUGCGAACGUAAGUUUUGAAAUUUCUCUCCACAAAUCGUGUUGAUUUAAUAAGUGACCAUUUCAUAUGAUUUAUGUUCUGUUUUUCAGGGUAGUAGAAGUCUUAUGGGCAUAAAUUUCAACUUUGGUGAGGAUAGGAUCAAGGAAAAGUUACAUAUAAGUGAGAGAGCCUUUCAAGGAAUGUCUAAUCUCCAAUUCUUAAGAGUCAAAGGGAAUAACAAUACAAUACAUCUACCGCACGGUUUAGAGUAUAUAUCUCGUAAACUUCGAUUACUACACUGGACUUAUUUUCCGAUGACAUGUUUGCCUCCUAUUUUCAACACGGAGUUUCUGGUUGAACUAGACAUGUCUUACAGCAAACUUGAGAAGUUGUGGGAAGGAAUUAAAGUAAGUAAUUUUGAUUUAUUUCUUUUAGAUAUUUUAUUAAUUUCAAAUUAAUAAUUUAUCUUUUGUACAAUUUUAUUUUAAUUAAUUACCAAUAGCAUGGAAGUCUGUUUUCUAAUUAAGUGUAUAUACAUGUUCUUAUUAUUUGUAUGUAUAGCCGCUUCCAAAUCUCAAGCGGAUGGAUUUGAGUUCGUCUCUCCUCUUAAAGGAGCUUCCUGAUCUCUAUUGGAAAUCUCAUCAAUCUAAAAGAAUUGGAUCUUAGCAGUUUAUCAUGUCUAGUGGAGCUCCCUUCCUCUAUUGGAAAUCUCAUCAAUCUAAAAGAAUUGGAUCUUAGCAGUUUAUCAUGUCUAGUGGAGCUCCCUUCCUCUAUUGGGAAUCUCAUCAAUCUAAAAGAAUUGGAUCUUAGCAGUUUAUCAUGUCUAGUGGAGCUCCCUUUCUCGAUUGGAAAUGCCACCAACCUUGAGGUUUUAAACCUUCGCCAAUGCUCAAGUCUGGUAAAGCUCCCCUUUUCUAUUGGAAACCUUCAGAAGUUGCAAACUUUGACCUUACGAGGAUGCUCUAAGCUAGAAGAUCUUCCAGCCAACAUCAAAUUGGGAUCUCUCGGCGAACUUGAUCUCACUGAUUGCUUGCUGUUGA